GUUUAGCAGUUUCCCAAUGAGUUAGACUACAAUUCUAUCCAGCAAUCCUAUUACCAGGUUGCAGAAACAUGGCACCAGCAUCCUCUUGGCUCCCAGGGAGACCUCAGAGAGAUUUUACUCAUGGCAGAAGGCAAAGUGAGAGCAGACACAUAACAUGGCAAAAGCAGGAACGAAAGAGAGAGAAGAGGAGGUGGGAGGUAAAGAUGGAAUAUUCACAGACACCAAAAGAGAAAGAGUAGACACCGGGGAGAGUGGAAAAACUACCUAUCCAGUACUGCG
rnacentral:lncRNA from 1 species